rnacentral:sRNA from 17 species
GUCAACGACCCAGGUCUGAAGACACUGGGCUUCUAGCCUAAGACUUAAACCAUAGUUGACCAGACUAAGUUCCUUGAGUACUACGUUAACGGCAAGAGUUAAAGACCUACCAAGAAAUGCGUAGCUAGUUUCUUGCUCUAGA